GGCAGGCCGUUGGCGCUCAAGGCGGGCCAGCUGCGGCAGGUGCGGAGGUUGUCGAGGGCGGUGCCGGGCGCGGCCGCGGCGAUCCGGCCGCCUAGAGCGGCUAGUUCAAGUUUGCCUAGGUACGGUCGUUCCUACUCUGCUUUGCCUGUUUGAUUGCUAAGAUUGCGUGGUUAAUUAAAUUUAGUGGCUCGUUUCUCUAGGAAUCUGAAAUACUAUUCUGAUGUAUCUUCCUGAAGAUUCCCUUCGUUUUGUUGGGCGUACAACUUCAGUAUCAUAUAGGUAUGGCUUGUAAUCUCUGCAUAACUCUUAAUCGGUGGACUCGUUGGAAUAGUUGCUUGCUGGGCUAAUUAACGGCUAUGUUUGCACAUAUAUUAAUGAUUUUAUAUCCAGUCGAUUUUAGCAAGAUUAUACUACUUCCAAAUUAGGUAUAAAUAGGUACGGUUUUAAUCUGCUACAGUAACUUGUUAUUGGUGGCAUAUAAUAGAUAUAGGACUCGUAGUCUAGUUUUGGUGAACAUCCUGAUCCUGAAUAUGGCAUAAACUUCCAAUAUAUAUACCUUAUAUAGGUAGAGUUUCCAGUUUACCAAACUUUUUACACAUAUAAACUCCUCCUUGGAAUAUUUGCUUCUUGGCUAAUCAUUUCCCAUGCUUUCUACAGAUAUUAAUGAUUCUACUAUAUUUUAGCAAAGAUUAUACUUCCUAAACGGGUAUAAAAUUCCAAUACCUUCUAAGUACGAUUUCUAAUCUGAUGUGUAACUUUCCAUUGGUGGCAUCUUACUUAUUGGAAUAUUCUAGGCUUGCUGAAAGAUUGCGUGAUUAAUUAAAUCUGAUGGCUCCUUCUGCAGGAAUCUGAAAUAUUAUUCUGUUAUAGUAUCUUCGUCAAGAUUUGCUUCGUUUAAUUGGGCUAAAACAUCAAUACCAUAUAGGUUGGUUUCUAAUACGCAUAACUUAUAAUCGGUGGACUCCUCGUUGGAAUAGUUUUGCUUCUUGGGCUAAUUAAGGGCUAUGCUUUUGUACAGAUAUCAAUCACUCCAUCAAGUCAAUUUGGCGAAGAUUAUCUACUCUCAAUUUGGGUAUAAAUUUCACUUACCUUAUAGGUACGUUUCUAAUCUACCACGUAACUUUUUAUUGGUGGCAUCUUACUUAUUUGAGUAUUCUGUUUAUUGGGCUAACGAACUUUUUUGCUUCAUCUAUAGAUGUAUAGAUAUAGACAAGAUUCUGCUUAUGGGCAUAAAUUCAGUUUCCUUAUAGGUACAGUUUCAUAUCUGCCACUUUUCAUUGGUGGACUCUACCUCUCCACAUAGUAUAUGGCUAAAACUACUGGAUGCCUAUCUUUUGUAGGAAUUUGCUGGACGGUUAUGCAAGAGGCAGAUACGAGUACAUGAAUAUGAGAGAUCUAGAUAUAGAUGUAACAAGACUUUCAUCAGCACAUCGAUUUGCUGCUUAUACGCACAAGUUAUCAUAUGGUUGUAUGCCUUGAAAAUCUAUUUUGAUGUACUUGCUGUGUAAGACUAUAUCAUAUGGGUUUUAUGCCUGAAAAUCAUAUUUCGAUGCACUUGCUGUGUAAAACUAUAU
rnacentral:lncRNA from 1 species